AAGACUAUAGACCUGCGGAGUACCUGCGGAAGGAUCAUUAUUGAGCUGAAACUCCUUUGGCUGGAUUGCUGUUGUUGCUGGCGCCACCCUUUGGAGGGCAAUGUGGCAUGCAUUAUGGAGACUCGAUACCACAACUGCAAAGCAGCUGGCUGGGCUUGGCUGGGCUUCAUAAUGAGGAAAAUUAUGGUAGCGGCGAGGUUCGAACUCGCGCGGACUUUCGCCCAUUGGGAUUCAAGAAUU
rnacentral:misc_RNA from 1 species